rnacentral:rRNA from 1 species
AGUGAACGCUGGCGGUAGGCCUAACACAUGCAAGUCGAACGGCAGCACAGUAAGAGCUUGCUCUUACGGGUGGCGAGUGGCGGACGGGUGAGGAAUACAUCGGAAUCUACUUUUUCGUGGGGGAUAACGUAGGGAAACUUACGCUAAUACCGCAUACGACCUACGGGUGAAAGCAGGGGAUCUUCGGACCUUGCGCGAUUGAAUGAGCCGAUGUCGGAUUAGCUAGUUGGCGGGGUAAAGGCCCACCAAGGCGACGAUCCGUAGCUGGUCUGAGAGGAUGAGCAGCCACACUGGAACCGAGACACGGUCCAGACUCCUACGGGAGGCAGCAGUGGGGAAUAUUGGACAAUGGGCGCAAGCCUGAUCCAGCCAUACCGCGUGGGUGAAGAAGGCCUUCGGGUUGUAAAGCCCUUUUGUUGGGAAAGAAAAGCAGCAGGUUAAUACCCCGCUGUUCUGACGGUACCCAAAGAAUAAGCACCGGCUAACUUCGUG